rnacentral:rRNA from 1 species
GACGAACGCUGGCGGCGUGCUUAACACAUGCAAGUCGAGCGGUAAGGCCCUUUCGGGGGUACACGAGCGGCGAACGGGUGAGUAACACGUGGGUGACCUGCCCUUAGCUCUGGGAUAAGCCUGGGAAACUGGGUCUAAUACCGGAUAUGACUCCAUAACGCAUGUUGUGGGGUGGAAAGCCUUGUGCGGCUAGGGAUGGGCCCGCGGCCUAUCAGCUUGUUGGUGGGGUGAUGGCCUACCAAGGCGACGACGGGUAGCCGGCCUGAGAGGGCGACCGGCCACACUGGGACUGAGACACGGCCCAGACUCCUACGGGAGGCAGCAGUGAGGAAUCUUGCGCAAUGGGCGAAAGCCUGACGCAGCGACGCCGCGUGGGGAUGAC